AGAGUUUGAUCCUGGCUACGAGGACGAACGCUGGCGGCGUGCUUAACACAUGCAAGUCGAACGGAAAGGCCCUUUCGGGGGUACUCGAGUGGCGAACGGGUGAGUAACACGUGGGUGAUCUGCCCCGCACUUCGGGAUAAGCUUGGGAAACUGGGUCUAAUACCGGAUAGGACCAUGCCAUGCAUGUGGUGUGGUGGAAAGCUUUUGCGGUGUGGGAUGGGCCCGCGGCCUAUCAGCUUGUUGGUGGGGUGAUGGCCUACCAAGGCGACGACGGGUAGCCGGCCUGAGAGGGUGUCCGGCCACACUGGGACUGAGAUACGGCCCAGACUCCUACGGGAGGCAGCAGUGGGGAAUAUUGCACAAUGGGCGCAAGCCUGAUGCAGCGACGCCGCGUGGGGGAUGACGGCCUUCGGGUUGUAAACCUCUUUCACCAUCGGCGAAGCCCAUGAUUUUGUUGUGGGUGACGGUAGGUGGAGAAGAAGCACCGGCCAACUACGUG
rnacentral:rRNA from 1 species